rnacentral:rRNA from 1 species
CAGUAGCCGCGGUAAUACGGAGGGGGCUAGCGUUAAUCGGAAUUACUGGGCGUAAAGCGUGCGUAGGCGGUUCGUUAAGUCUGUUGUGAAAGCCCCGGGCUCAACCUGGGAAUGGCAGUGGAUACUGGCGAGCUAGAGUGUGUCAGAGGAUGGUGGAAUUCCCGGUGUAGCGGUGAAAUGCGUAGAGGUCGGGAGGAACAUCAGUGGCGAAGGCGGCCAUCUGGGACAACACUGACGCUGAGGCACGAAAGCGUGGGGAGCAAACAGGAUUAGAUACCCCUGUAGUCCCUGUCUCUUAUAC